AGAGUCGAUUAUAUCUCCCCAUCACACGUCUGAGGAUUCAGAACUUAUAGCAGAAGCAAAACUCCUCAGGCAGCACAAAGGUCGGCUGGAGGCUAGGAUGCAGAUUUUAGAAGAUCACAAUAAACAGCUGGAGUCUCAGCUCCACCGCCUCCGACAGCUGCUGGAGCAGGUAGGGUGUGUAGAAUUCAGCGUCACACCUCCCCAGGCCAUCUGUCCACUGCCCUGGGAGAUGAUGGUCCAGCUUUAUAGAGAAAUGCCAGCUCUUAUUUUCUAUUUUCCCUUUCUUCCUCCCUCCCUUUCUUCCUUCUGUUUUUCUUUCUUAAUGCUGGUCAGGACCUACUAAAUUGAUUCUAUAACUCAUCGGUGGGUUAU
rnacentral:lncRNA from 1 species